rnacentral:sRNA from 1 species
CGGACCCACUCCGAUGUCAGUGACUGACAUGGAUACGCUAGGUCUUCGGC